UACGAAGGGAGCUAGCGUUGUUCGGAAUCACUGGGCGUAAAGCGCACGUAGGCGGAUGUGUCAGUCAGGGGUGAAAUCCCGGAGCUCAACUUCGGAACUGCCUUUGAUACAGCACGUCUGAGUCCGAUAGAGGUGGGUGGAAUUCCUAGUGUAGAGGUGAAAUUCGUAGAUAUUAGGAAGAACACCGGUGGCGAAGGCAGCUCGCUGGGACGGUACUGACGCUGAGACGCGAAAGCGUGGGGAGCGAACAGG
rnacentral:rRNA from 1 species